rnacentral:rRNA from 1 species
GACGAACGCUGGCGGCGUGCUUAACACAUGCAAGUCGGACGGAAAGGCCCUGCUUUUGUGGGGUGCUCGAGUGGCGAACGGGUGAGUAACACGUGAGUAACCUGCCCUUGACUUUGGGAUAACUUCAGGAAACUGGGGCUAAUACCGGAUAGGAGCUCCUGCUGCAUGGUGGGGGUUGGAAAGUUUCGGCGGUUGGGGAUGGACUCGCGGCUUAUCAGCUUGUUGGUGGGGUAGUGGUUUACCAAGGCUUUGACGGGUAGCCGGCCUGAGAGGGUGACCGGCCACAUUGGGACUGAGAUACGGCCCAGACUCCUACGGGAGGCAGCAGUGGGGAAUAUUGCACAAUGGGCGGAAGCCUGAUGCAGCAACGCCACGUGCGGGAUGACGGCCUUCGGGUUGUAAACCGCUUUCGCCUGUGACGAAGCGUGAGUGACGGUAAUGGGUAAAGAAGCACCGGCUAACUACGUG